AAUCAAUACCUCUGUUAUUCUUCUGCUAAUAAACGAACGGUAAAACUCACGUGAGAGGCACGUGGGAAUAAAAACCAAAGCUGAAUAACCUGAACCGUUGAGAGAGAGGGAGAAAGUUUGGGCUCAGUUUAGAGAGAGAGGGGAGAUGAUCCAACCAAAAGUCGAUAACCACCUCGGUAUCCUCUCUCCGGUGCCGGAGUUUCGCCGUCGUCUCACUGGCUGUUCACCGCUGGAUCAUAAUGUAUGCUAUUGGAGAAGAGCAAAGUCAAAAUGCACCUAUCAAAAAAAAAAAAAAACCAAAGUUGAAAUGCACAUAGAGGAUCCCUAAGUGGCUUGGAGGACAUAUCAAUAUAUUUUACCAAAAUGUCAAACUCGUUUGUCAUGUGGAGAAAAUCAAUCAACAUGGAGGAGAUGUUUUCAGUGGCUUUUGUAAAUCUGGACUCUAGUACCAGCUUACUAUAUAUACAUUGCAGUGACUAUCUAUGUAGGAGCCCUAAAAACAGGGCUUGUGAUGUAAUACACCUACUAGCUGUGGAAUGAUUCAAGCAGACGAUGAUUGAGAAGAAACUCAGACACAUUCUCCAAUUUUAUUUUAUUUCAUUUUCUUGUUUGUUUA